UGCUCUGAGGUGGGGUGGAGAGGACACAGUCAUCAGGUCUAAUACUGAGGGAGAGGACACAGUCAUCACUACUGAGGGAGAGGACACAGUCAUCAGGUGUAAUACUGAGGGAGAGGACACAGUCAUCAGGUCUAAUACUGAGGGAGAGGACACAGUCAUCAGGUCUAAUACUGAGGGAGAGGACAUAGUCAUCAGGUCUAAUACUGAGGGAGAGGACACAGUCAUCACUACUGAGGGAGAGGACACAGUCAUCAGGUGUAAUACUGAGGGAGAGGACACAGUCAUCAGGUCUAAUACUGAGGGAGAGGACAUAGUCAUCAGGUGUAAUACUGAGGGAGAGGACACAGUCAUCAGGUCUAAUACUGAGGGAGAGGACACAGUCAUCACUACUGAGGGAGAGGACACAGUCAUCAGGUCUAAUACUGAGGGAGAGGACACAGUCAUCACUACUGAGGGAGAGGACACAGUCAUCACUACUGAGGGAGAGGACACAGUCAUCACUACUGAGGGAGAGGACACAGUCAUCAGGUCUAAUACUGAGGGAGAGGACACAGUCAUCACUACUGAGGGAGAGG